UGCUGCUGCCGGGUUUAUCAGUGCUGCAGCUUUGCCCAGAAGGAAUCAGCCUCGUCAAGGUUCUCUGACCUCAAAGAAGAACAGAAAUGAUGUUGAAGAUGAUACAAGAAUUGUCCAUGGGACCUGCCUUCUCAGGAUCUCUUUAAAUCAUGGUGGGUGAUCCUCCUUUCUUUGUGUGUCCAUUACAUGUUUUUCAUUAAGGGCUGUUGGUGUUCUUUGGAGAAGACCUGGAAGAGGAGAGACACAAACGGGCACAGACUGGGACGUUGUUCUGCACCUGGGCCAGCCCUAUUUCCUUGGAUGGGACAGACAGAUCCAGACUUUUCUCAGCGACUCAGAAGAGUAUAGAACGUCUCCUGCCUGACUGUAUAUCCCUCCCUUGGAGCAGUGGAUAGCCACAGCCUUGUCCCCUGCCACCCACUGAGCUUGCAGAGGUGGCACAGAGGGCCCAUCAUGUCACAGAGAUGCUGCCCCACUGCUGUGAUGGUGAUGCUGCCUAACUGCUGCCUCGUGCUGCAUUCUGUUCUGUGAUGGAGAAUAACAGAGUUUGCUCAGGCUAAGGGAAGAUCUUACUGUCAUCUUCAACCAGCUCAUGGGAGAAUAUGGAGAACAUGGAGCCUGACUCUUUCCAGUGAUGAGCUGUAAAAUGGAUGCAACUUGCAGCAAGAGAAAUUUGACAUGUGGAAAGUAUCUUAACAGAGAAAUUACAAAAAUUCUGGAACAACAACCCAGCAAUCUUCUGGAAUUUCUGCUGUUGAAGAUGCUCCAAGUGCAACUGGGCAGUCAAGCAACCAGGUCGAGGUUUGAAGUUAAUCCUGCUCCAAGGCAGGAACUGGAGUAUGUGACCUCCAGGGUCCCCUCCAACCUAAACCAUUCUGUGAUGUUGUAGUGGAAGAGACAGAUGUUUUGGGGGGAUGCAAGGUGGUGCAAGUCCCUUGGAGACCAAUGGACUCAUAAAUUCUAGAGGCUACUUCUGAAUCUGCCCCAGACAUGCUGUGUGACCAACCAGCCUGAGGCAGCUUAGGCACCGUGUCUCCUGGUGAACCUGGAGACAACAGGAGCACCAAGUUUGUCUCAGCAAUUACCCACUGCAGCAGCAAGGCAUUUAGCUUGGGCAGGAACAUGCCAUUGCCUUUCCCAGCUGAAAACCAGGCACACACAGGGUGAGACAGGUGAACUGUAUUAGAGGUUCCAUAGCCAUGGAGGCCACCAGUCAAUAAAAGAAAACAUCUCCAAACAACACAAACUAACAUCCAGCACUGGGGAAACCCAUAAUUUUGUCUGCCAACUUAUUUGGAAUGGAAAUCAGCUGUCAGGGAUUGCAGUUAAGUGGGGAAUGUGAAAACAUGAUUUUAAAUGUUUGGUAAUUACUUUUCAAGGCAAUAUUAGCAUUAAUAAUUCCUGCUGGUAUUUGGACCUCCGUUGUCACCCACUCACUUUGGCAUCAUAUCAUACAUAAAAACUUUUGCCAUUUGAGCUAGUUAGUAAUAUUCUCUAAUAUUGCCACUAGCAUUUAACUUUCAAUUUGUCAUCACUUAGCAUCCCCAGGUCAUUUGUUUGCACAUUUCUUUAAACUUUUUCUUCCACAUAUUCAGAAUCAUUUAUGGGCUAUGAAGGCCCAAAUUUUGCUAGACAGCCCUCUCCAGAAUCUGAGCUGUGGUACCAUCUCUGGGUACUAGGAUCUGGGAGCUCUUUCUCAUUUAAAAGUAGGAGCCACCCACUACCACCCUUUGGAUGUGUGGAAAGUGCUGCUGAAACCAGCAGGCCUGUGAGCAGGGGAGGGAUCAUGAGCGUGUAUUCUUACCCUGCUCAUCCUGUGGUACAAAAUCAUGGCCUAGUGGAUGUGUACAGGGCACCACAGUGCCACAUAAAGAUAUCCAAAUGAGCUGAUACUUUAGCUCAGGGAUCCAUCAGGAUGUAUAUCUAUUUCCCACCUUAACAGUAGGCUGUACAGUACCUUCUUGCAAUCAUGAGAGAGGCAGCUCCAGAUGCUGAUUACCUUGAUCUUGGCAAGAAAAACUGCUGGCAGGCAGCUCAACAAGGUCAGACUGACCUCAGAUGCAUUUGAGGGGCCUUGGCAAGAGAGAUGUCUUUAGGGGAUCACUGACCAAUGCAAGGAACAUGAUGAAGCAGCUAUAUGAAAUGUAAAAGUAAUAAUAUUCCCAAUAAGCACCUGGCUUUUUAUUGCUACAAGAUUUUGAGUUCAUUUUCUUGUGAGAACUCUACUGUAACUUUAGGUGGGGAGUGACCAUCUCCCUACAUACCUAGCACAAGAAUUAAAAUGAACACCAGUCAAUAUCCAUAAGUUUUUAAAGAGCACUGGAUUUCAUAUUUUGUUGAAGUUGUUAAAAUAUUAAAUAUUUUACCAUUAUCUUUACUACAAGAAAAUUGCAGAAAAUAAGAAAUAUGACCAGUCUGUCUUUAUUACAUGUUUAAUCUUGACAUGUAAAUAAAUGCAUUUUCAAUGCAUCUUCAACUUUCAAUGUCCGUCAGUUGAGGACAACAUGCUUGACCGUGGGGCACAUGCUUUCAGCAGCAGCUGGGGUUCAGGAGGUGCUGCCUUGCACAGAGACAUGACCCAAGCUUGUGGCUACCCGUGGUGCUUUUCCCCAGGGCUGGCAGGUGUAAAGGAGGAGGUGGCCACCAAGGGCAUUUUGUGCCUGCUGUCCUCCAGAGAUGCCUCAGGGGUGGUGGCAGCAGCCGCAGGGCUCAGUGCGCUGCUGGGACAG